rnacentral:rRNA from 1 species
GAUGAACGCUGGCGGCGUGCCUAAUACAUGCAAGUCGAGCGAACGGACGAGAAGCUUGCUUCUCUGAUGUUAGCGGCGGACGGGUGAGUAACACGUGGAUAACCUACCUAUAAGACUGGGAUAACUUCGGGAAACCGGAGCUAAUACCGGAUAAUAUUUUGAACCGCAUGGUUCAAAAGUGAAAGACGGUCUUGCUGUCACUUAUAGAUGGAUCCGCGCCGCAUUAGCUAGUUGGUAAGGUAACGGCUUACCAAGGCAACGAUGCAUAGCCGACCUGAGAGGGUGAUCGGCCACACUGGAACUGAGACACGGUCCAGACUCCUACGAGAGGCAGCAGUAGGGAAUCUUCCGCAAUGGACGAAAGCCUGACGGAGCAACGCCGCGUGAGUGAUGAAGGUCUUCGGAUCGUAAAACUCUGUUAUUAGGGAAGAACAUAUGUGUAAGUAACUGUGCACAUCUUGACGGUACCUAAUCAGAAAGCCACGGCUAACUACGUG